rfam:Camelus ferus unplaced genomic scaffold scaffold261, whole genome shotgun sequence.
GAGGGUAUAGCUCAGUGGUACAGUGUAUGCUUAGCAUGCAUGAGGUCCUGGGUUCGAUCCCCAGUACCGCCA